GACGAACGCUGGCGGCGUGCUUAACACAUGCAAGUCGAACGAAGUGGCGAACGGGUGCGUAACGCGUAAUCAACCUGCUCUUCAGAGGGGGACAACAGUUGGAAACGACUGCUAAUACCCCAUACUGCAGGAGGGGAUUGCGUCUGAUUAGCUGGCUGGAGGGGUAAUGGCCCACCAAGGCGAUGAUCAGUAGCCGGGCGGAGAGGAUAAACGGCCAAAUUUGGACUGAGACACGGCCCAGACUCCUACGGGAGGCAGCGGUGGGGAAUCUACCGAAAUAGACGAAAGUCUGACGAGGCAACGCCGCGUGAGUGGUGACGGCCUUCGGGUUGUAAAACUCUGUUAAUCGGGACGCGGUACCGGAAUAGAAAGCCACGGCUAACUACGUGCCAGCCGCCGCGGUAAUAC
rnacentral:rRNA from 1 species